CGCUCAGCCCCAUCCGAUCAAAACACAGACGAAAAGGCAACACAAAAACACCAAAGGCGGUCCCCGGAAUCGGAAUGGGGGUCCCAGCUUUGUCCGUGCGUGCCUCAGCCCUCCUCGACCCUUGGUUCCUCCACACACACGCCACGCCCAGCACAAGGAUCUCCGGCGCCGACUGCGGCGACCUCCUCCUCCGAUCCAUAGCACCAGUAGCAGGCAGAGAUGGCAGACAACAUGGUGACGCUCGUCCGCCUCGUCCUCGCCAUCAUCCUCCCGCCGCUCGGCGUCUUCCUCAAGCACGGCCUCAAGAUAGAGUUCUGGAUCUGCCUCCUCCUGUGCUUCUUCGGCUACCUGCCGGGCGUCAUCUACGCCGUCUGGGUGAUCAUCAGGAAGGAAGACGACUAGGACUGAUGCGAUUGAUCAGCGACACAUGAGCGGACCACGCACCACGCCAAGGCAUUGACGUCAUUCCGGCUUGCAUUGGAAACAACAUUUCACUUUCCUCUUCUUUUUUUUUCUUUUUUGUAAUUGUAAGUGUAAGUAUAGGGAGGAGAUGUGUGUGGUGAGGGUGACUAUCAAAGGAGUCGUCCGCCGCAGUUUCAGAUAGGAAUUGUGUGUUUGAGGAUGCAUGCAUUGCAGUCGGGAAGAAUAUACACAGAUUAAUUAUUACAGACCUGAUUCCGUAAGUUAAUGAAAGCCCGAAUGAACAAGCAGAGACGACGUACAAAGACGGCACCCCCACACCACCAAGCAAAUGAAUGAAUCAGACAGACAGACAAUCAAAGACACACGCGCAGUACAGUACUCUGCAACGACGACGAACCGGCUGGCUAGUAUUUGUGCUGGAAGUCCUCGGUGGCGGGCGUGGGCUGGUACCCGACGCCGUGCCGGUUGUUGGGGAACACCAUGAAGACGUAGCCCGCGACGGCGCCGACGACGGGCGGGAGCACGGCCAUCAUGGUGGGCUCGGCGAGCUCCAGCGCCGGGUAGAGGCAGGCGACGGUGUCGGCGUCGAGGAGCGCGAGGGUGGCGAAGACGAGCAGCGAGAGCGCGGCGUGCGCGAAGUCGCCGGCGCGGAGGCGGUACGCCGACAGGUCCCGGGCGGCGGCGUCCGGGUCGGGCGUGAAGGUGCGCAGGCCCCGCCGCGUCACCACGCCGUAGUACACGCGCCCGUCCGCGCCCACGUAGCUGUCGGUGAAGCAGGAGAAGGCGCAGGAGGCGCCGCACAGCGCCACCAGCGCCCCGCUCAGCGCCUUGUUCAGCGUGGCGCAGUGCCCGUUGUUGCUCGCCAGCGGGCUCAGGAACUGGAACAGGAACACCGUGCCGCUCGGGAGCAGCUUUAUCAGGCUACCCAGAAACCGGCUGCCCAAAGUACGCCCAUGCCCUCUAAAACGACCCAACUACCAACCAAGCCUGUGCCGAGCAAACCAGCGAGGCGGGGCACCCGACUAAGUCUCCAUCGAGAGCAACCAAGCGAGGCAGAGUGCCCGACCAAGUCUUUGUCGAGCAACCCAACGAGACGAAGUGCCCAAUCAAGUCUCAACCAAGUGUUGGGGCGAAGGCAAAGACGCCACCCUUCGCUCGUCGUCUCUCGCUGCAGUCGCUGGUUUGACGAAGACAAAACGGGCAGGAACACCCUUCGCUUCAUUCAGCACCAGACGAAGGCAUGCGGUGACGUCUCCCCGUAGCACGGCCUCGUCCUGCUCUGAGGCCCACGUGUGAUCUGGCCCAUUGUAACGGGCCCCGCGUGGCCGCCUUUGUGUUACGGGCCUAGUUUGUAAAGGCAUUCUUGUAAUUACGGC
rnacentral:misc_RNA from 1 species